UGCCAAGGAGGCGGCUGGCAGAAAGGGACUCAAGACUGGAAGUCAGUAAAUUGCAACUGAGUGUGUGUUGAACUGCAUAUUUCUUGGAAAGGAUCAGCUUCUGUUUUAUUUGUUUUGCUUUGGGAAACAGUAAAUCCUACUUAUCUUUGAAAUAUCUGGACAUCCUCUAUUGGAGUCACACCCCCUGCCUAAACCAUUCCCUGCUAUGAAGGACAAUAGCUAUUAUUAUAGGAGAGGCCUUCCUGAGACAAAUGGUGGCAGCGGACACAGGAACCGUGACAGGCAGCACCUCUGACAGCAGGAGGAGAACAGAAUUAAUUUGAAUGCAAGAAUAAUAGAAUAUUCGAGUUGCAAGGGACCUCACAAGUCUUCUAGUCCAGUCCUCUAAUCAGUAGAGGAAACUGCUACAGCAUCCCUGUUGGACAUCCAGCUCUAUCUGAAAACUUCUAAGGAGGAGAGCCCACCAGUGCUAAAGAAGAGAGCCCACAGCUGAACAGCUCACAGUUAAGAAAUUCUUCUUCUUCAGUUCUAGCCUAAAUCUCCUUCUUUGUAAUUUCAGUCCUUUUAUUCUAGUUCUGCCCUCAGGAGCAAAAGAGAACAAGUCAAGUCCUUCUUCUAUUUGACAGGCCUUCAGGUAGUUGAAGACAGCUAUCAUAUUUCCCUUCAGUUUUUCUCUUCUCCAGGCUAAAUAUCCUUUCAUUUUGCCCCUUUUUUAUUUUUUAUAUAAAUUCAAUAGUUUCUCAUCUGAAUGACCUUGCGCUUCAUCCCCCUAAACUUGCAAACAGGCAUGUUUCGUUAUUGCUUUACGCAGAUGAUAUUGUCCUAUUAUCUCAAACCAAGAUAGGGCUAAGCCGUGCCCUAACUUCCCUGAGCGUCUAUACUGUGAAGGAGGCCUUGGAGGUAAACUAUACCAAGACUAAGGUGAUGGUUUUUGCAAAACGCCGCCAAAUCCAUAAAUGGUCCAUAAAUUGACAUAAUAUUGAGCAGGUCAAGGUUUUCAAAUAUUUAGGGGUUGUAUUUCAUUCCAGCGAAUCUCGGAAAGCCCAUCUUAGCGUUGUUUCUCACAGUGCCCAACAGAUGGCAAAUGUGAUUAAAUCUUUUUUACUUUUCGAGAGGCUCUCUUUUUGUCCCAGUGGCUGUCAAAUUACUGAAGGCUAAAGUAUACCCUCACAUUCUUUAUGGUGCACAAAUUGGGCCUUUUGAUAACUUUUCAGUAUUAGAAACAGUUCAAACUAAAUUCUUAAGGGCCAUCCUUCAAGCCCCCAGAGGCAUAGCCAAUAUGGCUCUUUGUAGAGAGGUUGGGGUUACCACCUUGAAAAUGAAAAUCUGGUUUUGUAUAAUCAAAUUCUGGCUGCAUUUCGUUUUCUCCCGUCAGUCUAGCGCCUUUAGUGUUAAUCGCCAGCUUUACAUCUAAAUGGGAAAUAGCUCUGAAAAUGAAAUUGCAUUAUCUGUGCACGUCCCAAGAAAACCUUAUAGGGAGGGGUUUAGAUCAGGCAACAUGUUUCAUCAGACAACGAUUAUUGGACAUAGAUCUGCAGGAGGAGUGUGAGGGGAAUGUAUAUAGGCUCCCAAAAUUUCAGUCAUAAACCAGCUGAGUAUUUAGAUCAUAUAUUUUUACCUAAGUUUAGGAGAGCAUUGACCCUUGCUCGUUUGAAUGCCCUUCCUUCUGCACUCCUAGACGGGAAAUAUAAACUAGUUCUGUAUGCAUUGCAUCAAUGCCCUUGUGGUUCAGGGGAUAUAGAGUCAGUUGUUCAUGUUAUUCUGUAUCACCAAUUUUAUAGGGAUGCUGGUAUUAAAUUUAUUGCUCCUCUCUUAAAGAAUCAUCCUGGCCAUACGGAUCAAUUUUACAUGGAAUUCUUGCUGUCAAAAGUUAAAUCUGUUACCUCUAUUAAUGUGGCCAAGUUUUGUUUUGUUGCAUCCAAACUUCGUAGAGUUUGUAUUAUCAAUCUGAAUAUUUUGUAAAUUAUAAAUGUAUUAUUUUAAAUGUUAAGCUGGUCUAAGGACCAUAAUAAACUUACUGCUGCUGCUA